rnacentral:rRNA from 1 species
AACGGCCAUACCAUGCUGAAUAUACCGGUUCUCGUUAGAUCACCGAAGUCAAGCAUCAUUGGGCGCGGUCAGUACUUGGGUGGGUGACUACCUGGGAACACCACGUGCGGU